AUGUACAAUGCAAUUUUGGUAGUCAUUUUCCAUUUCAGUUGGAAAAUGCAGUCGGAUGUUUGGGGUACUAUAAGUGAUCAAGGGGUGGUAACUCAUAUUACAGGGGGAAACUUUGCACAAAGUUCCAUGACGGUUAAUGGGUGGCUCCAAGAUUUCUUUUGGGCACAGGCAUUGCAAGUCAUUCAGCCUUAUGGUUCUUCAUUAUCUGCAUAUGUUCUUUUUUUCUUAGGUGCUCAUUUUGUCUAG
rnacentral:rRNA from 1 species